rnacentral:lncRNA from 1 species
AUGACAUGUGAAAAAGUCCUUGAUCUGAUGUGCUACAUGGUACUACCCAUUCAAGAUGGAGGCAAAUCCCAGGAGGAACCCUCAAAAGUAAAGCCCAAAUUCAGAAAAGGUUCGGAUCUCAAGCUCCUGCCAUGUACCAGCAAGGCUAUCAUGCCAUACUGCCUGCAUUUAAUGUUAGCCUGUUUUAAGCUCAGAGCUUUCACAGACAACAGAGACGACAUGGCAUUGGGGCAUGUGAUUGUGUUGCUUCAGCAAGAGUGGCCACGGGGCGAGAAUCUUUUCCUGAAAGCUGUCAAUAAAAUUUGCCAACAAGGAAAUUUCCAAUACGAGAAUUUUUUCAAUUACGUUACAAAUAUUGAUAUGCUGGAGGAAUUUGCCUACUUGAGAACUCAGGAAGGUGGGAAAAUUCAUCUGGAAUUACUGCCCAAUCAAGGAAUGCUGAUCAAGCACCACACGGUAACUCGAGGCAUCACCAAAGGCGUGAAGGAGGACUUUCGCCUGGCCAUGGAGCGCCAGGUCUCCCGCUGUGGAGAGAAUCUGAUGGUGGUUCUGCACAGAUUCUGCAUUAACGAGAAGAUCUUGCUCCUUCAGACUCUGACCUGAGUGGAGACCUGUCCACCAGACACAGCUCGGGACUGUGUAAUUUUAGGAGAAGAUACCCAGCAGUGAUUGACGUGGCACGCAGCCGCGGUCACUGUUGCUGUUACAAAGAAGAAAACCAGCUGAGUUCUAACUCCUUGGUUGCUUAAAAGUAGUUCCCAAGAGUCUGAGAAGCUAUCUCUAUUUUUAAGAGUCAUUUUUUGUAAUUUUGUAAAACAAAGAUCCAAUCUGUUUUGUAAAUAAAAAUCAUCCUAAAAUUUGAAGUUUUUAAACAUUUCUUUUGAUUCUUAUGAGUUUUUGAACAGGGGUGCAUUUUUCUUCUUUUCUAAGCAUAUAGCAAGGGGGAAAAUCCAGCAUAAUUGAAGUGAGUAAUGAAUUUUACUAAUACAGAUACUUAAAAGACAUAUGUCUUCCAUGAUCUUAAGAUUUUAUUUUUCAUAGUUAGGCUUUGGUCAGUAUUACAUGUCAACAUAAUAUUAGACGUUUUCAUUCAGGUAGUCUGUUUUUUAGAAACAAGGUCUCACUCUACACCCAGGUUAGAGUGCAGUGGCACGAUCCUCACUCACUGCAGCCUCAAACUCCUGGCCUCAAGCAAUCCUCCUGCCUCAGCCUCCCAAGUAGCUGGGACUACAAGCAUACACCACCAUGCCCAGCCAUUUGUUUUUAAUUUUAUGUGGAGACAGGGUCUCACCAUGUUACCCAGGCUGGUCUCAAACAUCUGGCCUCCAGCAAUCCUCCCACCUCAGCCUCCGAAAGUGUUGGGACAACAGGCAUGAACCACCAUACCUAGCCUCAUUCGGGAAGUUUUAACACCAAAAACAUUUAUGUAAAAAUGAACUUGAGCCUGACCUCUCCCCACUGACAGUCCCCUGAAGGAGAGGUGCUCAGGGCUGCUGAAAAAGCCCAGGACAGGAAGUGGAGGUGAGAGGCGAGGUGGGCUGAGCAGCCUCCCCACCGCUCUUUGGCCCCAGGAAAGCCCUGCUGCUGUGCCAGGGUGGCCCACUGGUUUCUACCCAGGGGUUUUGGAGCCAGGUGGCCUUGUGUGGCUUUGCAUCCUGGCUUUGCCCUGCCCUUUACUUGCUAUGUGACCGUGGACAAGGUAACUUCUGUAUGCGUCAAGCUCUUUGUCUGAAAACGGAGCUGAAUGGUCCUUCCCUCGCUGGUUGUUGGGAGGAUGAAAUGUUGCUCCCUGUGAAAUGCUUCGGAGGGGGCCUUGAGUGUAGUUAGUGCUGGCCAAUAUUAGCUAUUAGGCUAGAUUUUCUUUUUAGUUAGACUAAUUUUAUUUUCCUUUUGCUCUUCAUGAAAUAAUAUAGCAAACGUCAAUAAAAUGUGUUUCAAGGGAGUAUUUAAGAAUGAAAGAGCUAAGAAGUUUCGCAGUUACUCUGUAAAAGGUCUUAGAAAUCUUUUCUGAAUAAAGAUCCUUUUUAUAGCUAUAUUAAAAUCAGUAAGAUGUUUAAGAGACAUCUGAUCUCAAAAAUAUCAACUAGCUUGUUUUGCGGUGUUUAUUAGUGUAGUAUGAGUUUAUUACAGAUAUAUAAGCAAUCCUUUUUUUAAUCAUGGGAUGUGCUGUCACCUAAAACCUCCCAAAUUAAACACUCUCACCUUUUGGUUUUCUACCACUGUAUUAGGGUUCUCCAGAGGGACAGAACUAUUGGAUAGAUGUGUAUAUGAAAGGGAGUUUGUUAAGGAGAAUUAGCUCACAUGAUCAGAAGGUGACGCUCCACAGCAGGCCGUCUGCAGGCCGAGGAAGAAGGAAGCCCGCAGUGGCUCAGUCCAAGUCCAAGAGCCUCAAAAGCGGGGAGGCCAACAGUGCAGCCUUCCGUCUGUGACCGAAGACCCGACAGCCCAUGACCAACCACUGGUGUGAGUCCAACAGUCCAAAGGCCAGACAACCUGGAGUCUGACGUCCAAAGGCAGGAAGCGUCCCGCACAGGAGAAAGAGGAACAGAAGACUCAGCAAGCCAGCUUAACCCACCUUCCGCCUACUUUGUUCUAGCCUCGCUGGUGCCUACCCAGCUUGAGGGUGGGUCUUUCUCUCCCGAUCCACUGACUCAGAUGUUAAUCUCCUCUGGCAACAGCCUCACAGACACACCCAGAAACACCACCAGCUAUCUAGGCAUCCUUCAACGCAACCAAGUUGACACCUAAUAUUAACCAUCACGAACAGCUUCCUCAGCUCAGUGUUUGGGGGCAGUGCACAUCACAACAAGACUUUCCGAUACUAGCUAUAAAAGGAUUAACCAUCUUUUUAAAAAUGCAGUGGUGCCACUUCUCUGUGAAGAGGCUGUAGAGAAAGGGUCACAGAAUAAAAUGGAAACUCAGACUGAGUUUGCAGAAGAGGAAGGAGCUGGCAGAAAACUGCAGACCUCUUGGCACAUAAUGGCUCCAUCCAAAUCACUGCACUAACAGACCUGACCAAACUCUAGCUUGGCUACCAGCAGCUUAAGGUCAUGACCCCAGUCCCGCUUAAAACGCCUGCCUGAGAAAGCCCCAUGCCACCAAAAUUCAUUCCAGACCAAACCAGGUGAUAGGCAGAUAGGCCCCCCCUCCCCGGACUCUCUCUCAGAAUAGUUACUUUAGAAAGGUUGCAAUUAUACAUUCUUUGCCCUUUGAGAUGCAAAGCAACCACCCAGAGCUGUUUUCUCAAGAACCCAAGAGCCGGCU